UACGGGGGGGGGCAAGCGUUGUUCGGAAUUACUGGGCGUAAAGGGCUCGUAGGUGGCCAACUAAGUCAGACGUGAAAUCCCUCGGCUUAACCGGGGAACUGCGUCUGAUACUGGAUGGCUGGAGUAUGGGAGAGGGAUGCGGAAUUCCAGGUGUAGCGGUGAAAUGCGUAGAUAUCUGGAGGAACACCGGUGGCGAAGGCGGCAUCCUGGACCGGUAUUGACGCUGAGGCGCGAAAGCUAGGGGAGCAAACGGG
rnacentral:rRNA from 1 species